rnacentral:misc_RNA from 1 species
GAUGAAGAACGCAGUGAAAUGCGAUAAGUAAUGUGAAUUGCAGAAUUCAGUGAAUCAUCGAAUCUUUGAACGCACAUUGCGCCCCCUGGUAUUCCGGGGGGCAUGCCUGUUCGAGCGUCAUUUCACCACUCAAGCCUCGCUUGGUAUUGGGCAACGCGGUCCGCCGCGUGCCUCAAAUCGACCGGCUGGGUCUUCUGUCCCCUAAGCGUUGUGGAAACUUUCGCUAAAGGGUGUUCGGGAGGCUACGCCGUAAAACAACCCCAUUUCUAAGGUUGACCUCGGAUCAGGUAGGGAUACCCGCUGAACUUAAGCAUAUCAAUAAGCGGAGGA